rfam:Myotis brandtii contig206688, whole genome shotgun sequence.
GGUGGUUCUCGGGUGAUGCACCCUGGAUUCGGGCUCCUUCCUCUCUUGUUCUGGGUGCAUCACCCAAGAACCGCA